rnacentral:rRNA from 1 species
UGCAGUCGAGCGGUAACAUUUCUAGCUUGCUAGAAGAUGACGAGCGGCGGACGGGUGAGUAAUACUUGGGGAUCUGCCUGAUGGCGGGGGACAACCACUGGAAACGGUGGCUAAUACCGCAUAAUGCCUACGGGCCAAAGUGUGGGACCUUCGGGCCACAUGCCAUCAGAUGAACCCAAGCGAGAUUAGCUAGUUGGUGAGGUAACGGCUCACCAAGGCGACGAUCUCUAGCUGGUCUGAGAGGAUGAUCAGCCACACUGGGACUGAGACACGGCCCAGACUCCUACGGGAGGCAGCAGUGGGGAAUAUUGGACAAUGGGCGCAAGCCUGAUCCAGCCAUGCCGCGUGUGUGAAGAAGGCCUUCGGGUUGUAAAGCACUUUCAGUGGUGAGGAAGGCCUUGUCGUUAAUAGCGGCAAGGAUUGACGUUAGCCACAGAAGAAGCACCGGCUAACUCCGUGCCAGCAGCCGCGGUAAUACGGAGGGUGCGAGCGUUAAUCGGAAUUACUGGGCGUAAAGCGCACGUAGGCGGUUUGUUAAGCAAGAUGUGAAAGCCCAGGGCUCAACCUUGGAAUAGCAUUUUGAACUGGCAAGCUAGAGUUUUGAAGAGGGUGGUAGAAUUUCCAGUGUAGCGGUGAAAUGCGUAGAUAUUGGAAGGAAUACCAGUGGCGAAGGCGGCCACCUGGUCAAAAACUGACGCUGAGGAGCGAAAGCGUGGGGAGCAAACAGGAUUAGAUACCCUGGUAGUCCACGCCGUAAACGAUGUCAACUAGUUGUUCGUGUCUUUGAGACGUGAGUAACGCAGCUAACGCACUAAGUUGACCGCCUGGGGAGUACGGCCGCAAGGUUAAAACUCAAAUGAAUUGACGGGGGCCCGCACAAGCGGUGGAGCAUGUGGUUUAAUUCGAUGCAACGCGAAGAACCUUACCAUCCCUUGACAUCCAGAGAAUUUUCUAGAGAUAGAUUAGUGCCUUCGGGAACUCUGAGACAGGUGCUGCAUGGCUGUCGUCAGCUCGUGUUGUGAGAUGUUGGGUUAAGUCCCGCAACGAGCGCAACCCUUAUCCUUAGUUGCCAGCACGUAAUGGUGGGAACUCUAGGGAGACUGCCGGUGAUAAACCGGAGGAAGGU